CCCUUAGAUGUCCUGGGCUGCACGCGCGCUACACUGAUGUGUCCAGUAAGCACCUAACCUCUUCCGAAAGGAACGGGUAACCUUUGCAAAGCACAUCGUGAUGGGGAUAGAUUAUUGCAAUUAUUAGUCUUGAACGAGGAAUUCCUAGUAAGCACAAGUCAUCAGCUUGUGUUGAUUACGUCCCUGCCCUUUGUACACACCGCCCGUCGCUCCCACCGAUUGAAUGUUCCGGUGAGCUCUUCGGACUGCGCGGUCUGCAGUUUCUGCGUUCCGUGCGGAAAGUUGCGCAAACCUUAACAUUUAGAGGAAGGAGAAGUCGUAACA
rnacentral:rRNA from 1 species